GCCAAGAGAUUGUGGAAUUGAGAAGUUUCCUUGAAGAAGAGAAUUGUUGGGUAGGGUAAGUUUCUCUUUUUCACUACUUUUUUUUUUUUUUUUGGUCUUUCUAAAAUUCCAAAACAUUGGAAUUUUUUGCACAAAGUCUCCUCUAACAAAUGGCUUUCCAAAAUAGUCAGAUUCUUGAGGAGAGGUUGUUGGGGUCGAUGUUGGAUGAAGAACCCAAAAGGACGCUUUACUCUCUCAUUUUGACGGGCAAAUUGGCAGAAUUGGACAGUAGGACCUAAUGGGAAUUAUUUGUCGAGUUAACGGAUGUAAUUGCCUUUAAAAAAAUUCGAGGACCCAAUUGUAACUGGAGGCAAAGUUGAGGGACGUCUAUAGUUAAAAACCCUAUAUGAUAUUACAUUAUAAGCUACUUAGCAUGCAUUUCUACUAAAUGUAAAGGAGCAGGAGCAUUAAAAUCAAAGUUAGAGCUUAAAUGACAGGACCCGACCCAAAGUCCCCUUUGGAAUCCGAGCCAACCCUGUUCGUGAUCAACACCUGGCAAGUGCUGAGCACAAUUGACCUGGUUGCCCUUCUG
rnacentral:lncRNA from 1 species